rnacentral:rRNA from 1 species
AGUUCAUAUCGACGGCGGUGUUUGGCACCUCGAUGUCGGCUCAUCACAUCCUGGGGCUGUAGCCGGUCCCAAGGGUAUGGCUGUUCGCCAUUUAAAGUGGUACGCGAGCUGGGUUCAGAACGUCGUGAGACAGUUCGGUCCCUAUCUGCCGUGGGCGUUCGAGAUUUGAGGGGAGCUGACCUUAGUACGAGAGGACCGGGUUGGACGUACCUCUGGUGAUCCGGUUGUCACGCCAGUGGCACCGCCGGGUAGCUAAGUACGGACGGGAUAACCGCUGAAAGCAUCUAAGCGGGAAGCCCACCCCAAGAUGAGAUCUCGCGAGUCUGAAGACUCCUGUAGGGCCCUCGUAGACGACGAGGUUGAUAGGCGCGGUGUGGAAGUGCGGCGACGCAUGGAGCUGACGCGUACUAAUGGCCCGUGAGGCUUGACCAU